rnacentral:lncRNA from 7 species
AAAAAUAAAGAUGUCGGGGCUUUUAGGUGCUCGUGUGUAGCAGGCAAAAUAGAGUAAGGCUGCAUUAAGGUCGCUGCAAUUAUGGGGUGUUUAUGUUACGCAGACUUUGAUCACCUGUUAAAAUUAGCACGUUUUUUUCUAAGCAACAGAAACAACCCAAACGUGACAGUAGGAAGAUUUUCUAAAUCAACACGAGCGUGAGACAAAAAUGCAGGAAAGGAGAUAAACUGUUAUGAACAUGUGAAGAAACUGAUAGAUGAAAGAUUAAGAGCCUUCUGAACCUUUGCGUUAGUGGUCAGAAAGCAUGGCAGCUCUGCUGGUUUGCAUUGCAGGGUCAGAACUGUCCUGAGGAGAGAAAUGGAAGCUUUGUUUUCAGCUAACAAAUGGGGUGAGCUGUGAUGAGGCAUCUACCUGGAGCUGAACGCAAGCAGGAUCUCCACAUCCUGUCUUCUGGAAAGCUUCCUAAGAUGGGCUAGAAAUCAACCUGUUCAUUAGUCGUAAUACUGCAUCAUUUUCCUUCCAAGAGAUGCUUGAAGAGAGAGGUCAGGAGACCCACCAGGCUCCAGCUAGCCUCCCUCCCAUCUGUCUGCCCUAUGUCUUCAACCUCACUUCUUCACAACAUCCACAGUGUUCCUCUGAUUUUUUUUUCCUCAAAAUAACCUAAUGUGCUACACUAACAUUGGCAAUAGCAUACUUUGAAACCCAGAUACACUAUUUUGAAAGACUAACAUCACACAGAUAUAUAUUUCCUACAGUUUCUUUUAUAUUUUUAAUUAUUCUAGACUAUCUCACCACCUUCAAACAACAAACGGCAUUGUAUGUAUGGAAUAUGGGUAAGACUGGCUGGAAAACAGCACAUUUACAUAUUGAGAACAUUUGAAGUUUUGACUUCUGCUUCUUUUUUGAUCUGCAUAAGUAGGACUUGAUCACAAACCUCCCACGCCUUGUGUAUGUACUAAUUUAUACUAAUCUGUACCUGUUUUGCUGAAAUUCUAUCAAAGAUGGGAUGUAAUCAGCAUCAAAACUCAAAGGUCUUUUGUGGGGAUAAUGGCAAAGACUUAAUCAGCUUUAGUUAUGACUAAGUAAGGAACAAACUGACAUGGAAUAAAUAUAACAUGGACCUCCAAGUAUGGCGUCAAAGAUUAAGAAAAAAAAAAGAGGAAAAUGAGAGUAGCACAAUGCAUCUUUUUACUUCAGUUAACAAGAGGCACAAAGGAAAGAACACAGAUGUUGAUCAGCAUCUAGAGGACAUGAGAGAGGUUCUUUUCUAUUGAUAUUUCCAAUUCUUUUCAAAGGUCUCUGACAGAGUAAAAAUCUUUAAUUUAUGAUCUAAGGAAAUUUGAGUAUCAUCAGCAUAAUAGUCAAACUCAAAAAUUAUCCUUCAUGUCAAUAACACAGUCCACAAAUGUACACAACAUU